AUUGAACGCUGGCGGCAGGCUUAACACAUGCAAGUCGAGCGAGCGGCGGACGGGUGAGUAAUGUAUGGGAAACUGCCUGAUGGAGGGGGAUAACUACUGGAAACGGUAGCUAAUACCGCAUACCAUCAGAUGUGCCCAGAUGGGAUUAGCUAGUAGGUGGGGUAAUGGCUCACCUAGGCGACGAUCUCUAGCUGGUCUGAGAGGAUGACCAGAGACACUGGAGCUGAGACGCGGUCCAGGCUCCUACGGGAGGAAGCAGUGGGGAAUAUUGCACAAUGGGCGCAAGCCUGAUGCAGCCGUGGCGCGCGUGUGAAGAAGGCCUUGGGGUUGUAAAGCACUUUCAGCGGGGAGGCGUUACUCGCAGAAGAAGCACCGGCUAACUCCGUGCCAGCAGCCGCGGUAAUAC
rnacentral:rRNA from 1 species